rnacentral:tRNA from 1 species
GGGCUCGUAGCUCAGCUGGAUAGAGUACCUGGCUACGAACCAGGUGGUCGGGAGUUCGAAUCUCUCCGAGCCCG